rnacentral:lncRNA from 1 species
AUGAAUCAGAUCAAGCAUAGUUCUGGAAAAGUAAUGGACAAAAUAAUAUAAAAAACCCAAAAAUCUUUUUGGAUUUUUCAUUUACAACUUAUUUUUUGAAUACGGAAUCAGAAAUACGAUAACAAAAGACUCGACAAACUCAGCUAGACUAUGAUAGAUUCUGACACCAUCUAAAAGAAUCAGUACUACUAGACAUUACUAUAAAGUACAAGACAACAUAAAAACAAGACAACAUAAAAAAACAGACUCAAAACAUAUUAAAAUCUCCUUAAGCAGCUCCUGAAUGCAGUGAUCCUGACUGGAUAAUCCCGGGGCAUUUGUCAUGCUCAAGCUCUGGUAAGUAGAUCCACACAUGUAUGAGAAAAAUAGGACCAAAUAGAGUUAAAGAUUUAAACCAUUAUGUGAGACAAUAACACUUCCUAUUGGACACAUGCAAUACAUAAUUGAGGCAAUUUUUGCAAAAUGACUUACGUGGCAAAAAGGAGGCUAGAAGUGAAAACUCGACAAAAGUGACCUCUAAGACAUGGAAAAAUUACUUUGCAAAAAUGAUCCACUUUGUAGAAAUGGCCUAUGUGUCCAAAAAAAUGGCUAAGCAUGCAAAUUCAAAAGAAUGGACCUUAAACAGAGAGGACACCUUGUUGUGGACUUAGGGUUCUAAGACAUAGGAUAAAAAAAUAGCCCUAUUUUGCAAAAAUGGUCGAUGUGGCCAAAAGAAGCUAGACAUGCAAGAUUAGGCUACGAUCCUCGCAACCAAGAACUUAAGACUCACUAGGAAGACCGGACCCUAUGUGGACUGCUUACGUAUCCCGCCCCGAAUGACGAGAAUCAGGUAUGCGUAGUUCGGGAGGAUUGGAUAUGGGUGAGAAUAAUUAAAAACACUGAUUUGGAGAAAAUAUUUUUUUUGUCUUUUUUUUUUUGAGAAAUGAUGGGAAAGUGCAAAAUAUUUUUGGGAUUUUUCAUUUUUUUUUAUCUUUUUCUUAAAAAAAUGUGAAAGAAAAACAUAAUUGGGCCCUACUUGCUUUAUUUUCACACUUCACCCUCUUUUCUCUCUCAUUUACCCUCAACCAAUAUUGGACGCCAAAUGACCUCUUUUACUCUUGAAAAAUGCAACAUAUAGCACAUAAGAUGUAUCAAGAUGGUCUUUUAUUUUUGGGUAUACCUACCCUAGACGGACCCAAACCCUGUGUGGUGUCCCCAAAGUCAAAUACACAUGAUGCAAACAAACGUACCUAAUAGGGAUUCGGCAUGAGACUAUGUUAUUCUAGGUUUAAACUUGGGGGUGUGUUCUAGACAUGGCUUACCCAAGCAGACAGCUCGAGCCGAGGUGGGGGCAAUGUACUAAGAGCACGAAAGUCUAUCUGGCCUAGUUGUUGAUCCAGCCUCGUUCUAUUUGGUAUGACCUCUAACAAAAAAGUGGGUCAUGCGUACGUGUCCACCAUAUUUUUAGAAGACUCAAAAGGGAGACGUAAGAAGACAAUUUAAUACAACUCAAAUAAUAUCAAAGUGGUAAAUAGGCAGCAAUUAGCACAUUAAGCCCACAAACACAGUAAUAUCAACAAACAAUAAAGCCAAGUACAUAUUAUAUUAACAAGCUCGAAUUCUGAACCAUGAACUAGAGAUUUGGGUUCCAAUUCCCAGCAGAGUCGCCAGAGCUGUCACACCUUCUUUUUACCCGAGGGGGAUAGGGGAGUUUUUUCAAUUAAAGCGACAAUAAUUGAAAUAGAAUUAUUUAUUAAAACUCAGAGUCUCCACUUGGGAUAAUUAUAAAGUGUCCCAAGACACCGGUUUAUUUUAAAUCCUAAAUCGAGAAAAAUUGACUCUGUUUUAAAGGUCCGCAAAACCAGAAGACCGAGUAAUAAAUUCUGUUAACCUGGGAGAAGGUGCUAGGCAUUCCUGAGUUCUGUGGUUUUAGCACGGUCACUUUAAUCAUACCUGACUUAAUAAAAUUGUUUAAUUACAUGUUUUAGAACCUAUAUGUGUUUUACCUUUUACCUCUUUUAAUUGAUUGAUUAUUCGUAAUUAUAAAAUUAUUUUGAAACGAGUCACGCGUACGGUACUCAUUUUGUUCAACGCAUCAAGAAUAAUGUCAUGCAUACGUGUACACAAUUAAUCACGCUUUGUUAAUAUUAAGAAAAUUCGGCCGAAGUUGCGCGAACGCAUACUUUGGUUUAUUUUUAGGAGUCAUAAUCAUGUUACGUGAACGUGUACACAGUUAUAACUAUUUAUUGAAUUUAUAACGUCCCUAAAGUAUUCUAACGCUUCAAUUGACUAAGACAAGAAUAAAAUACAAAAAAUUCAUAUUAAGCCCAAAUUUAUUUAAUUUUAUUCGAACCCAACCUUAAAAAUUCUCGUUCAGCAGCUUAGGAAAUCUAGACAAUCAAUAAUUAACUGAAUUAGUCAAAUAUUGUGUAGCCUAACAGGAGAACCUAAACCUUAUUUAAUUUCCAUUAGCCUUUAGUUGCUUAAAUCAAUUCAAAUCCAACCCAUAUACCUAGCAGCUUAGAAUUAUAGGAUUCAUCAUUAGUUAAAGACUUUAAUGUAACUCAAACAACAGAUAAUCUUAUACUUUACUAAUAUCACUAAGUGUAUUAAGCCAAGAAAAAAAAUUCAAACAUAUUCAUCACAUUAAGCACCCAAAAAAACGUGACAACAAUCAGAGACCCGCAUAUAGUGUUAUCAAACUAAAACAAAGGAGAAAAAAGAAUGGACCUCAAGCAGCCGCACUUUCCAAUUCACAAGAUCUUGAGUUCAGAUUACAAAGCAAAUUGAGCAUUUGUUCCGAAAAAACAACAACGUUUGACUAGAGAUUUGAACGGAAAACAGGGACAAUAAAACUGGAAAUGAAACCACGAUUGACAACACCGAACGGACAACCUUACUGACUCAAACUCCCAAAAGCAAACGAGAAGGUGAUGAGAAGAAGAAAGCAGAGCAGCAAUGGCAUGGAGCAGUCUCUGUAGUCAAACGCCAGCCAACCAGUCAUCACCUUCGGAGGUGGCGAGGUAGCCAGAACUGAAAGAAAGGUGAAGAGGGGAUGACGACAACAAUGGCCGUGGUGGCUGUGAGCUCUAGAAUGGAGGAGUUAGUCGACUGUCUCUUUCUUUUGUGGUGUUUGGAGGCAGCAAGAAGGUGAUGAAGGAUGGUCCGGUGGCCGAAAUUGGAGUUCUGGUCGCUGGUAUUUUGGGAGUUGCGGCUGGAAUGUUGAAGAGAGGUGGGGUGCGACUAGGUUCUUUUUGUGUGUGUUAGCUGUUGAUCGUUUUUUCUAGUGAAUUAGGUUAGCUUUAUAUAGAGGGAAUUAGGGUAUAGUUUAG